AACGAACGCUGGCGGCAUGCCUAACACAUGCAAGUCGAACGGGAUCCGGACUUCGGUUCGGUGAGAGUGGCGGACGGGUGAGUAACGCGUGGGAACCUGCCCAGUGGUGGGGGAUAACUGCGGGAAACUGCAGCUAAUACCGCAUGAGCCCGAGAGGGGAAAGAUUUAUCGCCAUUGGAGGGGCCCGCGUUCGAUUAGGUAGUUGGUGAGGUAAUGGCUCACCAAGCCGACGAUCGAUAGCUGGUCUGAGAGGAUGAUCAGCCACACUGGGGACUGAGAUACGGCCCAGACUCCUACGGGAGGCAGCAGUGGGGAAUAUUGGACAAUGGGGGCAACCCUGAUCCAGCAAUGCCGCGUGAGUGAUGAAGGCCUCCGGGUUGUAAAGCUCUUUUGCCAGGGACGAUGAUGACGGUACCUGGAGAAUAAGCCCCGGCUAACUUCGUGCCAGCCGCCGCAAGUAAAACCUAAGACUG
rnacentral:rRNA from 1 species